ACAUUAGACGAAUCAUCUGGAAAGAUGAAUCAAAGAAGGUAAUAAUCCUGUAGUCGAAAAUGUUGUCUCUCUUGAGUGGAUCCUGAGUACGACGGAGCACGUGAAAUUCCGUCGGAAUCUGGGAGGACCAUCUCCUAAGGCUAAAUACUCUCUAGUGACCGAUAGUGAACCAGUACCGUGAGGGAAAGGUGAAAAGCACCCCGGAAGGGGAGUGAAAUAGAACCUGAAACCGUGUGCUUACAAGUAGUCAGAGCCCGUUAAUGGGUGAUGGCGUGCCUUUUGUAGAAUGAACCGGCGAGUUACGAUUUGAUGCAAGGUUAAGCAGUAAAUGUGGAGCCGUAGCGAAAGCGAGUCUGAAUAGGGCGUUUAGUAUUUGGUCGUAGACCCGAAACCAGGUGAUCUACCCUUGGUCAGGUUGAAGUUCAGGUAACACUGAAUGGAGGACCGAACCGACUUACGUUGAAAAGUGAGCGGAUGAACUGAGGGUAGCGGAGAAAUUCCAAUCGAACCUGGAGAUAGCUGGUUCUCUCCGAAAUAGCUUUAGGGCUAGCCUCAAGUGAUGAUUAUUGGAGGUAGAGCACUGUUUGGACGAGGGGCCCCUCUCGGGUUACCGAAUUCAGACAAACUCCGAAUGCCAAUUAAUUUAACUUGGGAGUCAGAACAUGGGUGAUAAGGUCCGUGUUCGAAAGGGAAACAGCCCAGACCACCAGCUAAGGUCCCAAAAUAUAUGUUAAGUGGAAAAGGAUGUGGCGUUGCCCAGACAACUAGGAUGUUGGCUUAGAAGCAGCCAUCAUUUAAAGAGUGCGUAAUAGCUCACUAGUCGAGUGACACUGCGCCGAAAAUGUACCGGGGCUAAACAUAUUACCGAAGCUGUGGAUUGUCCUUUGGACAAUGGUAGGAGAGCGUUCUAAGGGCGUUGAAGCAUGAUCGUAAGGACAUGUGGAGCGCUUAGAAGUGAGAAUGCCGGUGUGAGUAGCGAAAGACGGGUGAGAAUCCCGUCCACCGAUUGACUAAGGUUUCCAGAGGAAGGCUCGUCCGCUCUGGGUUAGUCGGGUCCUAAGCUGAGGCCGACAGGCGUAGGCGAUGGAUAACAGGUUGAUAUUCCUGUACCACCUAUAAUCGUUUUAAUCGAUGGGGGGACGCAGUAGGAUAGGCGAAGCGUGCGAUUGGAUUGCACGUCUAAGCAGUAAGGCUGAGUAUUAGGCAAAUCCGGUACUCGUUAAGGCUGAGCUGUGAUGGGGAGAAGACAUUGAGUCUUCGAGUCGUUGAUUUCACACUGCCGAGAAAAGCCUCUAGAUAGAAAAUAGGUGCCCGUACCGCAAACCGACACAGGUAGUCAAGAUGAGAAUUCUAAGGUGAGCGAGCGAACUCUCGUUAAGGAACUCGGCAAAAUGACCCCGUAACUUCGGGAGAAGGGGUGCUCUUUAGGGUUAACGCCCAGAAGAGCCGCAGUGAAUAGGCCCAAGCGACUGUUUAUCAAAAACACAGGUCUCUGCUAAACCGUAAGGUGAUGUAUAGGGGCUGACGCCUGCCCGGUGCUGGAAGGUUAAGAGGAGUGGUUAGCUUCUGCGAAGCUACGAAUCGAAGCCCCAGUAAACGGCGGCCGUAACUAUAACGGUCCUAAGGUAGCGAAAUUCCUUGUCGGGUAAGUUCCGACCCGCACGAAAGGCGUAACGAUUUGGGCACUGUCUCAACGAGAGACUCGGUGAAAUCAUAGUACCUGUGAAGAUGCAGGUUACCCGCGACAGGACGGAAAGACCCCGUGGAGCUUUACUGUAGCCUGAUAUUGAAAUUCGGCACAGCUUGUACAGGAUAGGUAGGAGCCUUUGAAACGUGAGCGCUAGCUUACGUGGAGGCGCUGGUGGGAUACUACCCUAGCUGUGUUGGCUUUCUAACCCGCACCACUUAUCGUGGUGGGAGACAGUGUCAGGCGGGCAGUUUGACUGGGGCGGUCGCCUCCUAAAAGGUAACGGAGGCGCUCAAAGGUUCCCUCAGAAUGGUUGGAAAUCAUUCAUAGAGUGUAAAGGCAUAAGGGAGCUUGACUGCGAGACCUACAAGUCGAGCAGGGUCGAAAGACGGACUUAGUGAUCCGGUGGUUCCGCAUGGAAGGGCCAUCGCUCAACGGAUAAAAGCUACCCCGGGGAUAACAGGCUUAUCUCCCCCAAGAGUUCACAUCGACGGGGAGGUUUGGCACCUCGAUGUCGGCUCAUCGCAUCCUGGGGCUGUAGUCGGUCCCAAGGGUUGGGCUGUUCGCCCAUUAAAGCGGUACGCGAGCUGGGUUCAGAACGUCGUGAGACAGUUCGGUCCCUAUCCGUCGUGGGCGUAGGAAAUUUGAGAGGAGCUGUCCUUAGUACGAGAGGACCGGGAUGGACAUACCUCUGGUGUACCAGUUGUCGUGCCAACGGCAUAGCUGGGUAGCUAUGUGUGGACGGGAUAAGUGCUGAAAGCAUCUAAGCAUGAAGCCCCCCUCAAGAUGAGAUUUCCCAACUUCGGUUAUAAGAUCCCUCAAAGAUGAUGAGGUUAAUAGGUUCGAGGUGGAAGCAUGGUGACAUGUGGAGCUGACGAAUACUAAUCGAUCGAAGACUUAAUCAA
rnacentral:rRNA from 1 species